GUUGCCAAAAUGGGUUUGAACCCAAAGAGAAGGGGGCUGCGAAUGGAAGCAAAGGGGGUGCAAAAAGGGGUUUCUGUUUAAACACAGAUUAGGUCCAAGCCCAUAUGAAAAGGGGUGGUGAAGAGUAAGAGNGGGGGUGCGGAAACUGUUUUCUUUGUAGAAGCGGACUGGGCUUGAGCCCAAGCUACAAGAAAGAACAGGAGGUGUGCAGGUAGGAAAUGGGGG
rnacentral:lncRNA from 1 species